ensembl:snRNA U6 U6 spliceosomal RNA
UUGCUUCAGCAGCACAUAUACCAAAAUUGUAUGAAACAAAGAUGAUUAGCAUGGCCCCUGUGUAAAGAAGACAUGCAAAUUUGUGAAGCAUUCUACAUUUUU